AGCUCACCAGGAGAGAUGCCCCACCCCACUGGCUGCCGGUGUGGGGACGCUGGAGUUGAAUGUGGACUCUGAGGACGUGCGGGGGACAAUAUCAUCUUAUUCUUGAGAGGUUGUAAAGAGCUCGGCCUUAAAGAAUCUCAACUUUUUGACCCUAGUGACCUACAGGAUACAUCCAACAGAGUAACAGUCAAGAGCCUUGAUUAUA